GCGGGUUAACUUCAGUUGGUAGAAUGUUAGGUUCAUAUCCUAAUAUGCGUCGGUUCGAGUCCGGCACCCGCC
rnacentral:tRNA from 1 species